AGCUCUGCUUUCGUAUCCCUCGAGCGUUUGGGGGUGCAAGCUGUAGGGCUGUGGCCAACAGGUGCCCCUGGGGUUUGCACGGCAGGAAGCUGAGAAGGGAAAGGGGGAGGGGCAGGCUAGAUGGUGCCGCCUCAUUGGCCCUGGACCGAGGUCGGGAUGUGACUUGUCUGCGGUGUGUGUUCCUCUGCACCGGGCCCAGCUCGCCCAAGAAAUGGGCGUCCUAGCCAUGCUGCUCCAGGGUUCCAUAGACCUGCUUCCCCUGCUUUUGGAGCCUGCAGUUGGUAGUUUAGGUCUCUAGUCCAUGUCAGGAAUGUGGGUGCCCUGCUCCAGUGGAAUUCUCCCACCAGGCCCAGGAGUGGCCCCUCUGCUGCCCGAACCCUUUGCCCCAGGCCUUUCCCUAUGGUGUCCCCUCCUGGGAGGAUCCACAGGGUCGGUGUUGGCAGAGCCAGUGGCAGAGGAGGUUCCAGGGGCUCAGGGAGGGGAAGAAGCUGGGCGAGGUCGCAGGAGCCUGGGGGUGAAGUCAGGGCAGGGCCGGCCUGCGGGGAGCUGCCCCAACUCCUGGGCUCUGGGCGACAUUCCAGCCAGCUCUCCCAGGCUCUCUGCUCGCCUUCCUCCCUGGUAGCUAUCUCUGUCUCUCUCCAGGUGGGUCUACAUCCCCUUUCAGCAGCCCCAUCACCUCCGACGAGGAAUACCUGAGUCCCCCAGAGGAGUUCCCAGAGCCUGGGGAGACCUGGCCACGAACCCCCACCAUGAAGCCCAGUCCCAGCCAGAACCGCCGUUCUUCUGACACUGGCUCCAAGGCACCCCCCACCUUCAAGGUCUCACUUAUGGACCAGUCAGUAAGAGAAGGCCAAGAUGUCAUCAUGAGCAUCCGCGUGCAGGGGGAGCCCAAGCCUGUGGUCUCCUGGCUGAGAAACCGCCAGCCUGUGCGCCCAGACCAGCGGCGCUUUGCGGAGGAGGCUGAGGGUGGGCUGUGCCGGCUGCGGAUCCUGGCUGCAGAGCGUGGCGAUGCUGGUUUCUACACUUGCAAAGCGGUCAAUGAGUAUGGUGCUCGGCAGUGCGAGGCCCGCUUGGAGGUCCGAGGCGAGUGAGCUCAGGGGGCCACCUGCGCUCCCCCCGCUACCCUCCGAGCCGCGCCCCUGUCUCAGGCACCUCUCGGACCUCGCUGUGUUUCACUGCCUCCUGCCCACAGACCCAGGCCUGCCGGCCCGGACCCGUCCCAGCCUCCCCUCCCCACCCCAUGCAGCCCCCAGGGGGAUAGCCCAUGGGCCCCUGUGGACCCUCCCUCCCCAAGUGGACACAUGGCUGUGCAGGCCAGGAGGCCCACAGAUGGACUGAGUGCUGGGAAGGGGCGGCUGCGAGGGGUAUCAACCCCCCGAGUCUCUCCCUGAAGGGGAGCACCGGGCGAGUGCAUGUGCUACUGCUGCUACAGGCCUGUCUAUCUGUUUGUCUGUCUGUGUGUCUGUGACAGUCAGGGAAGGAUGCCUCGGAGCUGAGGUGGGGUGAGACAGAGUGGGAGAGAUUACGGCAUGGCAUGGAGGGGCCCAAGGAGCAGGGGCUGUUGACAAAGGCCUUACCAGGAAGGGUUAGGACACUGACCAUUCUAUAAAUGGGUUUCGAAUGGCACAACACUUUCUAUUUCACAAAAGACCAAAAGCCAGAGGCCCCAGGCUCUGUGCUGAUGAACAGCCUGGCUGAGCCCUGGCCCUGGCAGGUUUAGGGCCCGUUUGGGGCCCCCUCCUUCUCUGUCAGGGCUGGGGUGCUCUGUCUGGGAAUGAGGGAGUUAACCAGGUUUGGUGCAGGAGCAGGAGCAGGGGGCCACUGUAGUGAGCGUGGAGAGAUUUGGAAACACCUAUUUCUUAACUCAAAUAAAGUCCAGUUUGUACCC
rnacentral:sRNA from 1 species